rnacentral:rRNA from 1 species
CCUACGGGAGGCAGCAGUGGGGAAUAUUGCACAAUGGGCGAAAGCCUGAUGCAGCGACGCCGCGUGAGGGACGACGGCCUUCGGGUUGUAAACCUCUUUCAGCAGGGACGAAGCGCAAGUGACGGUACCUGCAGAAGAAGCACCGGCUAACUACGUGCCAGCAGCCGCGGUAAUACGUAGGGUGCAAGCGUUGUCCGGAAUUACUGGGCGUAAAGAGUUCGUAGGCGGUUUGUCACGUCGUUUGUGAAAACUCACAGCUCAACUGUGAGCCUGCAGGCGAUACGGGCAGACUUGAGUACUGCAGGGGAGACUGGAAUUCCUGGUGUAGCGGUGAAAUGCGCAGAUAUCAGGAGGAACACCGGUGGCGAAGGCGGGUCUCUGGGCAGUAACUGACGCUGAGGAACGAAAGCGUGGGUAGCAAACAGGAUUAGAUACCCUGGUAGUCCACGCCGUAAACGGUGGGCGCUAGGUGUGGGUUCCUUCCACGGAAUCCGUGCCGUAGCUAACGCAUUAAGCGCCCCGCCUGGGGGAGGACGGCCGCGAGACGUAAACUAACGAAGUAGUAGCGCGNGAGACGCGACGACGACGACGACGGAGGGAGGAG